rnacentral:rRNA from 1 species
UGGGGAAUCUUGGACAAUGGGGGAAACCCUGAUCCAGCCAUGCCGCGUGAAUGAUGAAGGCCUUAGGGUUGUAAAAUUCUUUCAGCGGGGAAGAUAAUGACGGUACCCGCAGAAGAAGCCCCGGCUAACUCCGUGCCAGCAGCCGCGGUAAUACGGAGGGGGCUAGCGUUGUUCGGAAUUACUGGGCGUAAAGCGCACGUAGGCGGCUCGGAAAGUCAGAGGUGAAAGCCCGGGGCUCAACCCCGGAAUAGCCUUUGAAACUAUCGAGCUCGAGUCCAGGAGAGGUGAGCGGAAUUCCGAGUGUAGAGGUGAAAUUCGUAGAUAUUCGGAGGAACACCAGAGGCGAAGGCGGCUCACUGGACUGGUACUGACGCUGAGGUGCGAAAGCGUGGGGAGCAAACAGG